UUUAUUUUUGAUAUUUCCUCUCUGGUCUGGAGUCAAUGAUGUUGCUAUAAGAGGUGUCUGGUAGCCACAGGGUACGUGCCUGUUUGAUAUUGAUAAAGGAGUGUACAUAUCAAGGAAGCUAUUGUUUGCUGGUAUGCUGUUGAGAGUCAGUGGAUUGUGGACUAAAGGGGAAACUGUCAAGAGUGGAGUGCAUUGUGACUGGCUUUUUUGUUUUUUUUUUGUUUUUUGUUUUUGUUUUACUGUGUAUGUACAUUACACUCUGUUACUUUUGUAGACCUGUUUGAUGCAUGACAUUAUAAUUAUUGACAUUAUUAUUUUGCGUGUAUAUGUACAUGUACAAUUACAAUUUUACAUGUCUGUAAAUUGUGUUUAGAUCAGCCUCAUUGCAAUUCUUCCUAUUCAUGCAAGUCAGUUCAGAGAUAUGGGAGUUUGAUCCCAAUGGUGAUACUUACUUUGAUGAAGCAGUUGAUGGUUUUUGAAGGAUCUCUUCUCCGUUUGGAAGGUGUGAUUCCAUUGAUAAACUCCGUAAAAGGUGUGAGACCAUUAAUUGAGAGAUACAGGACUCACAACAGUUCAAGAACUUCUACCAGUUUACGUUUAAUGUUGCCAAAAACUUGGGGCAGAAAGGACUGGGCUAGUGACAUCUUGAGAUGGCCAUUGCCUACUGGAAUCUUAUUUUUACUGGUCGCUUCAAAUUUUUGGACUUGUGGUGUGAAUUUUUAAAAUCUCAUUAUAAAAGAGCUGGCAAUACCCAAAGGCACUUGGAACCUUCUGCUAGAGUUUUCUAACAGGAUUGAUGCACCAUGAGCAAUUAUGAUGAAGAUG